ensembl:lncRNA
CUGCAGCCCGCACGUACGGCGGGCAGCUCGCGAGCACGGUGACUGCCCGGGAAAACCGAAAAAGCCGUCAGCCUCUUUCCAAACUGGACGCUGGAGGUGCAGAGGAACUGGAGCUUAAUGUCAAAUCCUGGCAGAAGAUGUCGAAAGAAAAACACUGGCUCCCACUGAACUCACGGAAGGCGGAUGUUCGUAUCUGCAGCCCCAGGGUAACGCGGCGGGCAGUAACUGGUUCCCGUAGCUUCGCCCCGUGCGCUUGUGAUAUUGUACGUUCACAGACGACAUUGUCAUCUCCGAUUUUCAAAUGAGAAGGUGGAGGUUCCACAAGAUAAAGUGACUUGCCCAAAUUCACACAGCUGGUACACAGAGGAGCCAGGAUCUGAACCUCAGUUUCCAUUGCCGAGAGACCUCUGCUUUUUCAAGUGCACCAUUUAGCUUCCCAACUAUUUCUCUCUAACUAUGGCGGAAAAUGAGGUAUUCCCUCCCAAAAAAUGCAGCUCCUAAGGAAGAGGCUAAGCUUGGCAGCAUCUUUGGAAGAUGUGGAUGACUUUCCUGGGGAACUACUUGGAAAGAUUAAUGCAAAACUCACUGGAUGAAGGGGCUGGCCCUGUGGCCGAGUGGUUAAGAUCACGCGCUCUGCUUCAGCGGCCCGGAGUUCACUGGUUCAGAUCCUGAGUGCAGACCUGAGCACCACUCAUCAAGCCAUGCUGAGGUGGCGUCCCACAAAGAAGAAUUAGAAGGACCUACAACUAGAAUAUACAACUAUGUACUGGGGCUUUGGGGUGGGGGAGGGGGGAAGAGGAAGAUUGGCAACAGAUGUUAGCUUAGGGCCAAUCUUCCUCACCAGAAAGUAUACUUUAAAAAAAACUUUCUAGAUGAGUUAAUGUGAUCCUUUCAGUGAAAACUGGUCUAAUUACUUUAUAGUCGUAUCAUCCAUUUGGCCUUUAAAUGUGACAAAUGCCAGAUUUGAAGGAAUCUUAGCACCAAUAGGAAGUGAUGAGAAGCUCAAAAGAAAUGCUGGUGGUGAACCAUUUCUCAAGUUAGAGCACACCAGAAGAGGUACUGGUCAAAAGAAACUGUCAUUCAUUCAUUCAUUCAGUUGUGUAUAUCUCAGUCAUCAAAAACCUGAUAUGAGUACAGCACUGUUCUAGGCUCUGCAUAUGAACAUUAAGUAAUGCCCUCAAAGCACUCCUUGUCAUACGGAGCCCCCGGAAAGGCAAACAGUUGCAGAGCAGUGGUGUAAAUACUGCAGCAAAACCAUGUCACAGGUGCACUGUGUUGAAAUGCCCACUAGCCCGGAUCUUGGCCAGUUUGUCUUUAGAGCCGUUCUCUGCCCUGCCCUCUGCUCUGUGUUGCUAGGGGCUGACUCUAGCAGGCUGAGUUUCACAGACUCCUGAAUCCAUUGGCCAAUGGCUGGGUAUGGUCAAUGGGAGGCACUGGAGGGAGAGUGCAAGUGGGAAGAAAGGAGAAGCCGGGGAAUUUCUUCACCUCCCUCUUGCCUCUGGUAGCAUCUCCAGUAGUGGCUGGAUCUGGCUGAGGCUCCUGCCAGGUGACCCAGCCCCUGGCUUAGGUAACACCACCACUUCCUGUUAACUCUCCAGUUUAGGGAUGUUAAUGGCUUUCUGCUGAAAUUACUUUUGGGGUAGCUUCACCUUCCUCUGUUUGCAUCUCACAUCCUCCAUCACCUGUGUGAGCAAUCCCCUGUGUUAAAUUCCUUCUGUGCAUAUCAGCAGAUUCCAAGGGAAGGGCAUCUUACAAAAGGCCUGGGAAGUACUCCUCAAAACUAUCUAGAUCAUUGGGGCUGGCCCCGUGGCCGAGUGGUUAAGUUCGUGCACUCUGCUGCAGGCGGCCCAGUGUUUCGUUGGUUCGAAUCCUGGGCGCGGACAUGGCACUGCUCAUCAAACCACACUGAGGCAGCGUCCCACAUGCCACAACUAGAAGGACCCACAACGAAGAAUAUACAACUAUGUACCGGGGGGCUUUGGGGAGAAAAAGGAAAAAAUAAAAUCUUUAAAAAAAAAAAAAACUAUCUAGAUCAUUAAAAACCAGGACAUGAUGGAGAAACCGUUACAGCAAAGAGGAACUCAAGGAGAAAUGACAAUUAAAUGUAUUGUAUGCUGGAUGGGAUCCUGGGACCGAAAAAGGACAUCAGGUAAAAACUAAGGAAAUCCGAAUAAAGUGUGGACUUUAGCUAGUAAUAAAGUAUGAAUAUUGGUUCAUUAAUUAUAACAAAUGUACCAUCCAUUCACAGGUAUGAUGUUUGUAAUAGGGGAAAUUGGGUAUGACGCAUGAGGGAACUCUCU